UGCCCUUUGUACACACCGCC
rnacentral:ncRNA from 2 species